rnacentral:rRNA from 1 species
GACGAACGCUGGCGGCGUGCUUAACACAUGCAAGUCGAACGGAAAGGCCCUGCUUUUGUGGGGUGCUCGAGUGGCGAACGGGUGAGUAACACGUGAGUAACCUGCCCUUGACUUUGGGAUAACUUAAGGAAACUGGGGCUAAUACCGGAAAGGAGCUCCUGCUGCAUGGUGGGGGUUGGAAAGUUUCGGCGGUUGGGGAUGGACUCGCGGCUUAUCAGCUUGUUGGUGGGGUAGUGGCUUACCAAGGCUUUGACGGGUAGCCGGCCUGAGAGGGUGACCGGCCACAUUGGGACUGAGAUACGGCCCAGACUCCUACGGGAGGCAGCAGUGGGGAAUAUUGCACAAUGGGCUGAAGCCUGAUGCAGCAACGCCGCGUGCGGGAUGACGGCCUUCGGGUUGUAUACCGCUUUCGCCUGUGACGAAGCGUGAGUGACGGUAAUGGGUAAAGAAGCACCGGCUAACUACGUG